rnacentral:rRNA from 1 species
UCUAGUGACGAUCGCGGAGAGGUCACACCCGUUCCCAUGCCGAACACGGAAGUUAAGCUCUCCAGCGCCGAUGAUAGUUGGGGGAUCUCCCCCUGUGAAAGUAGGACGUCGCUGGGC